AACAGGAUUAGAUACCCUGGUAGUCCACGCCCUAAACGAUGUCUACUAGUUGUCGGGUUUUAAUUAACUUGGUAACGCAGCUAACGCGUGAAGUAGACCGCCUGGGGAGUACGGUCGCAAGAUUAAAACUCAAAGGAAUUGACGGGGACCCGCACAAGCGGUGGAUGAUGUGGAUUAAUUCGAUGCAACGCGAAAAACCUUACCUACCCUUGACAUGUACGGAAGCCUGGAGAGAUCUGAGUGUGCUCGAAAGAGAGCCGUAACACAGGUGCUGCAUGGCUGUCGUCAGCUCGUGUCGUGAGAUGUUGGGUUAAGUCCCGCAACGAGCGCAACCCUUGUCAUUAGUUGCUACGAAAGGGCACUCUAAUGAGACUGCCGGUGACAAACCGGAGGAAGGUGGGGAUGACGUCAAGUCCUCAUGGCCCUUAUGGGUAGGGCUUCACACGUCAUACAAUGGUACAUACAGAGGGCCGCCAACCCGCGAGGGGGAGCUAAUCCCAGAAAGUGUAUCGUAGUCCGGAUUGUAGUCUGCAACUCGACUACAUGAAGUUGGAAUCGCUAGUAAUCGCGGAUCAGCAUGUCGCGGUGAAUACGUUCCCGGGUCUUGUACACACCGCCCGUCACACCAUGGGAGCGGGUUUUACCAGAAGUAGGUAGCUUAACCGCAAGGGGGGCGCUUACCACGGUAGGAUUCGUGACUGGGGUGAAGUCGUAACAAGGUAACC
rnacentral:rRNA from 1 species